rnacentral:lncRNA from 1 species
CAAGAUCACCGCGUGUUGUAACAAUCUUCUUGUGUUACAACAUAUAACAAUAUUACAGUACCAUACAUUUCUCAAAAAUUUCAUUCUCUUGGUCACAUUUAUCAGUCACAUAGUAAUCGAUGAUUCUUAAACUACUCAUCCUUAGAUUUGAUAUCAAUAAUCAAGAUUUACAACCUAUUCAUUUAUUUUCCUUCCUCUUAAUAUCAAAUCAAAAAGCGAGUCACCAUAAAUCUCUGCAUUCUUCAAGCUGUUUUUUUUUUUUGAAUAAACAAUAUUAUUCACAAUAAAUGAGUGAGAAAUUAGGCCAAACCUCAUCAUAAACUAAUAAUAAUGUGUUCAAAUUCACAUAUAACGAAAAUCGAGCACUAAUUCGUUAUUAUAAUUGGGUGGGGUUUGAGGAGGAGUUAGAUUCAUCAUGUGCCAUGAACAAAAUAUCACAUUGGUCGUUUAUCGUGUUCAAGGGCACAACACUGCCUAUAAUCUUGCUACCCUUGAAAACCCAAGGUACGUAUUUAAAUGCUUUAGAACAAGCA